AUGCAGCACCAUCAGUUUGUGCUCAUUGCUGUAACGUUAUGGGCAAUAUGGUCUUCUAGGCGCAAAGCAAUACAUGAGGGCAUUUUUCAUUCACCACAAGCGACUCAUUUGUUUAUCAAAAGAUUCAUAUCUGAGCUUGAUAUGUGCAAGGAAAGUCGCCCAGCAGCGCCUGCACCUUCCGCAAGAGGACCUAGACGACCACCAAAAAUACCCCCACCGGGUUUUGCAAAGAUCCAUGUGGACGCGGAAGUUCGCUCGGGUAGAAGAGGAUCAGCGGCGGCAGUCUGCAGGGAUAGACAGGGGAACUUCUUAGCAAGUUCAUCAUUGGUGAUCCAAGGUCUUGAAGAUCCAGCCACCCUCGAAGCGAUCGCAUGCCGCGAGGCACUGGCGUUAGCCGAGGACUUGCAUCUACAGAGCUUCAUUGUGGCAUCGGACUCAAGACAAGUUGUCUCAGAUAUCAACAAGGAUGUUCGGGGAAGAUAUGGUGCUAUCAUUAGUGAGAUCCGCCUUCAAGCAGAACUUUUUCAAUGUCUUUUUACUUUUGAACGUAGGGAAGUGAAUGUAGAAGCUCAUAGUUUAGCUAAAUUUUCUUUGUCUCUAGAUCCGGGACGCCAUGUCUGGUUUGGCCAAUCCCAUGAUCUAACCCGUAUCCCACAUGUUGUGGAUUUUGAUGAAUAA
rnacentral:rRNA from 1 species